rnacentral:misc_RNA from 1 species
AAGUCGUAACAAGGUCUCCGUAGGUGAACCUGCGGAGGGAUCAUUAACACGUAUCCAACACGUAUCUAAACCAAACCCGUGCUCCUCUUUUGCCCAUGUCAGGAGGUGUAUAUGCAAGCCACAAGAUAGAAUUCAGUAGAAGACAUUCAUUUGUCUUUUUGCUGUCUACUUGCAGUACUAUGGUCCCCUCGAGGACUAAACCGAUCUGGUCAUGGUGUAUCCAAAAGCUAUCUGGUUAUCAGUGCCACCCCGGUAUCGACCCGGAGCCUGGUAGCCGUAUCAAACCAAAUUUUUUUAAACCCCUUUUUUGUAAUUUACUACUGACUUUUUACUCUUAUCGAUAUGGUAGCAGACUUCGGUCCGCUUGCCAUUGACAUGUAAGAUGUAUACGAAACCGCGAACAACUCUUAGCAACGGAUAUCUUGGUUCUC